CACGCUGUCCUUUCCUAGCUGACCCUCCCAAGGAGGCUUUCCUGGGAGGCUGGAAGAGGAGUGGCACAGAGGACUUUUCUUACAAGCACAGCCAGGGGCAUUCCAAGGCUCACAACGGCAGCACUUCAAUUCAGUAUCCAUCUUCACAUGGUGUUCUCCUUGUGUGUCUGGAUCCUCACGUGACCAUCGUACUCGUCUAACACAACGCCGCGGGGAGGAAGCAGUAACGAAUCAUAAUUAAGAACACAUCAGGUUCAGAAGUGUGUUAAGAAAUUGACUGGAAGGUUAUAAAAGUCAUAUGGAAGUCAUAGCCCAGAAGAGGCACCACCACCUUGAAAAAGAACAAAUGUGGAAGAUGAUUAUUUCCCGGUUUCAAAACUUAUAGUAAUCUUCCUAUGGAGACCUGCAAAGAAUUGAUGAUAUAGGGUAAACUCACACAUUACGGUCAAUUUCAGACAAGGAGAGGAAUCCGUACAUUUGUUUGUUUGUUUGUUGUUUGUUUGUUUGGCUUUGGUGCUGGGGGUUGAACCUCGUAUGUGUUGAAUAAACCUUCUACCACUGAGCUACAUCCUUGUCCCUAAGUUUUCACAUUUUAUUUAGACAUGGGGCCUCACUAACUUAU
ensembl:lncRNA LOC120102486 uncharacterized LOC120102486